rnacentral:rRNA from 1 species
UACGUAGGGUGCAGGCGUUAAUCGGAAUUACUGGGCGUAAGGCGUGCGCAGGCGGUUUUGUAAGUCUGACGUGAAAUCCCCGGGCUUAACCUGGGAAUUGCGUUGGAGACUGCAAGGCUGGAGUCUGGCAGAGGGGGGGUAGAAUUCCACGUGUAGCAGUGAAAUGCGUAGAGAUGUGGAGGAACACCGAUGGCGAAGGCAGCCCCCUGGGUCAAGACUGACGCUCAUGCACGAAAGGCGUGGGGAGCAAACAGG